UACGAAGGGGGCUAGCGUUGCUCGGAAUUACUGGGCGUAAAGGGCGCGUAGGCGGCACUGUUAGUCAGGCGUGAAAGUCCUGGGCUCAACCUGGGAACUGCGCUUGAUACGGCAGAGCUAGAGGAUGGAAGAGGGUCGCGGAAUUCCCAGUGUAGAGGUGAAAUUCGUAGAUAUUGGGAAGAACACCGGUGGCGAUGGCGGCGACCUGGUCCAUUACUGACGCUGAGGCGCGACAGCGUGGGGAGCAAACAGG
rnacentral:rRNA from 1 species